CGCCUUAUACUCCUACGGGAGGCAGCAGUGGGGAAUUUUGGACAAUGGGGGCAACCCUGAUCCAGCCAUGCCGCGUGAGUGAUGAAGGCCCUAGGGUUGUAAAGCUCUUUCACCGGUGAAGAUAAUGACGGUAACCGGAGAAGAAGCCCAGGCUAACUUCGUGCCAGCAGCCGCGGUAAUACGAAGGGGGCUAGCGUUGUUCGGAUUUACUGGGCGUAAAGCGCACGUAGGCGGACUAAUAAGUCAGGGGUGAAAUCCCGGGGCUCAACCCCGGAACUGCCUUUGAUACUGUUAGUCUUGAGUAUGGAAGAGGUGAGUGGAAUUCCGAGUGUAGAGGUGAAAUUCGUAGAUAUUCGGAGGAACACCAGUGGCGAAGGCGGCUCACUGGUCCAUUACUGACGCUGAGGUGCGAAAGCGUGGGGAGCAAACAGGAUUAGAAACCCGAGUAGUCCACGUACCA
rnacentral:rRNA from 1 species